rnacentral:rRNA from 1 species
UACGGAGGAUCCAAGCGUUAUCCGGAUUUAUUGGGUUUAAAGGGUGCGUAGGCGGAUUGAUAAGUUAGAGGUGAAAUGUCCGAGCUCAACUCGGGAACUGCCUCUAAUACUGUUGAUCUAGAGAGUAGAUGCGGUAGGCGGAAUGUAUGGUGUAGCGGUGAAAUGCUUAGUGAUCAUACAGAACACCGAUUGCGAAGGCAGCUUACCAAUCUAUAUCUGACGUUGAGGCACGAAAGCGUGGGUAUCGAACAGG